GGUUUGUAGCUCAGUGGUAGAGUACUCGCUUAGCACAUGAGAGACCCUGGGUUCGAUCCUUAGCACCA
rnacentral:tRNA from 1 species